GACGAACGCUGGCGGCGUGCUUAACACAUGCAAGUCGAACGGAAAGGCCCUGCUUUUCUGGGGUGCUCGAGUGGCGAACGGGUGAGUAACACGUGAGUAACCUGCCCUUUACUUUGGGAUAACUUCAGGAAACUGUGGCUAAUACCGCAUAGGAGCUCCUGCUGCAUGGUAUUGGUUGGAAAGUUUCGGCGGUUGGGCAUGCACUCGCGGCUUAUCAGCUUGUUGGUGGGGUAGUGGCUUACCAAGGCUUUGACGGGUAGCCGGCCUGAGAGGGUGACCGGCCACAUUGGGACUGAGAUACGGCCCAGACUGCUACGGGAGGCAGCAGUGGGGAAUAUUGCACAAUGGGCGGAAGCCUGAUGCAGCAACGCCGCGUGCGGGAUGACGGCCUUCGGGUUGUAAACCGCUUUCGCCUGUGACGAAGCGUGAGUGACGGUAAUGGGUAAAGAAGCACCGGCUAACUACGUG
rnacentral:rRNA from 1 species